rnacentral:lncRNA from 1 species
CAUGCCGGUUUCUACCGAAGAUUCAUCAAAGAUUUUUCCAAAAUUGCCAAACCAUUAAGCAAUCUGCUUAACAAAGGUACGUUGUUACACCCAAACCCGUUAUUUAAUUAACUCUGCCUUUAUAAAAUCUUUUUCGAAAAUACGCAGCGGAAAAAUUGAAAAUCUGAUUAUAAAGCGCUGGUUUGAAUAUCACAAAAUACAAAAUCCUCCGCAUCAACAAGAUGCGUUAUAAGUUAUACAAAACCAAUACUUUUCACAAAGAAUAAUUCUUAUAUGAAAACAUAAGCAAUUACAGAGUAAUUUUCUAAAGGAAUUUAUAUAUAUAUAUAUACAAAACCCCUUUUUUCCCCGUGUCACAAUCAGAGCGGAGCUUCAUCA